UCUUCCAGUCAAUUUUUUCUUUGAUCUACAGAACUUGCUUCUUUUCUCUGAAGUUUUCACAAUACAGCAUGAUAGAAGGAGCACAGAGUGCCAGAGGCAGGGAAUUCCUAUGCUUCACUAGUGACUCAUAAGAAAACUUAAUAGAAGGUCUCUACUGCCUGCUGGCCCUGCAGUACCUGAUUGAUGUGGUCCCAAACUAAAGUAGGCUAACCUUCAUUGAACCAAGCACUUCAGAGCCAUGGGAAGAAGUAUGGGGGAAGGAGUCCUUGUACUCUGGCAAUGAGGAAAACAAACAUUAACAGUGCAAGACACAGUGAGAGUCACAGAUCCAUGGAUGGACGAUCCUUUUGAGGACAAUAGAGGGGGAAUUUGGAUAAGUUUCCUGAGUGAGAAACCUUCCAGAUGGCAAUCUGAAAGUUAGCUGUUCCUUCUCAAAACACAGAGCUUUCUCAAGAGAAAGAUAACACCCUCUUUCAUCAGAGCGAGCGAGCUUUCUUCAUGGUGGCAAUUUCCAGUCUCCAGUGCAAGGAGGGGAAACUGAAGGAGAAUAAGGCGGUUACAUUCAGUUAGAGCCUGAGAGCAGAAUUUGGUUAGGCUGAAGCAGCUGGAAACUGUGGAAUGUAAUACCAGAGAGGAGACUGCCACACAAAGAACUCUAAAAAUUUUGAUUUUCAGCAAACCUUCAGAAGGCAAAAGGGAAAGUUUUCCCAUGGGCCAACGUGGAUAUGUUUCUGUAAUAGUCUGCUCAGCCUUCUACAACAAGAUGUCGCAGACUGGGUGACUUAAACCAGGGAUCCUCAAACCCUGGCAAUGGAUCGGUACGGGUCAGUGGCCUGUUAGGAAUCAGGCCACGUAGCAGGAGUAUGAAUAUCUCUGAUGAAAUGAGACAAUGUCCAAGGGAAGCUGGUAUCUUCAAGAAGGUACUCAUGAUAAGAAGAGUGAGGACGCACACCUUUAACUUAAUAUGCAGCAGAGACAAGACUUUUCUUCAAACCCAAGUGCUCUAGCACCAUGCAUAUUUUGAAAAUAGUGACUAAGCACAUAAAAGUAAAAGAAAAAAUUGCAUUCAUGGACUCCUACUCUAAUGGAUGUAAGAGGUGACUCUAUCUAAAAUAACACUGGGAGAGA
rnacentral:lncRNA from 1 species